UUCCUGGUGGCUCAGAGGAUAAAGCGUCUGCCUGCAAUGUGGGAGACCUGGGUUCGAUUCCCAGGUUGGGAA
rnacentral:tRNA from 1 species